CCCUUAGAUGUCCUGGGCCGCACGCGCGUUACACUGAUGCAUUCAACGAGCUUAUAACCUUGGCCGAGAGGCCCGGGCAAUCUUGUUAACGUGCAUCGUGAUAGGGAUAGAUUAUUGAAAUUAUCAAUCUUGAACGAGGAAUUCCUAGUAAACGCAGAUCAUCAAUCUGCAUUGAUUACGUCCCUGCCCUUUGUACACACCGCCCGUCGCACCUACCGAUUGGAUGGUCCGGUGAAGCCUCGGGAUUGUGGUUCUUGCCGCUUUAUUGUGGCGUGACCGCGAGAACUUGUCUAAACCUUAUCAUCUAGAGGAAGGUGAAGUCGUAACA
rnacentral:rRNA from 1 species